rnacentral:rRNA from 1 species
GCCAGUAGUCAUAUGCUUGUCUCAAAGAUUAAGCCAUGCAUGUGUAAGCACAAGCCGUAUAUGGUGAAGCCGCGAAUGGCUCAUUACAACAGCCAUAGUUUAUUAGAUCUUAUCCUUUUACAUGGAUAACUGUGGUAAUUCUAGAGCUAAUACACGCAUACUCCGGCCUACUAACUAGAACGUAGAUUUUUUGUCUACGAGACUUCUUAGAGGGACUCGGGGCGUCUAGCCUCACGAAAUGGAGCGAUAACAGGUCUGUAAUGCCCUUAGAUGUCCGGGGCCGCACGCGCGCUACACUGAAGGAAGCAACAAGCUAUACCCUGGUUCGAAAGGACUGGGUAACCUUGUGAAACUCCUUCGUGAUUGGGAUAGGGACUUGCAAUUAUUUCCCUUGAACGAGGAAUUCCUAGUAAGUGUGGGUCAUCAUCUCGCGUUGAUUACGUCCCUGCCCUUUGUACACACCGCCCGUCGCUACUACCGAUUGAAUGAAAUACUGAAAUUGACGGAUUGGUCUUUUGGUGGCUUCGCGGCUGCCAUUGUGACUGAGAAAUCACUUAAAGUGUUUCAUUUAGAGGAAGUAAAAGUCGUAACAAGGUUUCCGUAG